AGCAAGUGGGAAGGGAGAUAUUUUCAUUGCUUGGUUGUAAGAAAAGUCAAUAAGGUGGAAAGGAGAUAAGAGCAAGAGAAAGUGAACUUGGUGACUUAGAGGAAAUCACAAAACUCAUCCUUCUUCUUCCUCCUUGGCCGUGUAUCUUCAUUCUUCUUUCUCUUCCAUCACCAAAAUUUCAUACCUUCACCAAAUUGAUCCAUCUUCAGCUUGUUGGAAACAUGAGAGUUCAUGGAUCAUCAUCCCUAAGCUAGGGCAAGCAAGAGAGCAAAGCAAGAGGGUGCUAGGGCUUGAGAAAGAGAGGAGCUCAUGAGAGCUAGAACAUGAGGAGCUUGAGGAUUCAUCAAAUUUCUAAGAUAUCCAGAUUGACAGGUUAUAUGUUAGCUUGUCCGAGUAGCGUGGUGAAGCUCCGCUCUGAUUGUGACACGGGGA